CAGCUCUAGAAAAAAAAGAGGGAGAAAUACUAAUGGAUGGUUCUGGCAUAAUCAGCCUAAGUAAUUGAAGAUCUUUUCCAGAAGAUGCUUGUGCCACCCAAUGAGGAAAAGCCAGGCACCAGCAAGAUUUGCUCAAGCCCAGUUCUGGCUCUGCUGGCAGUUUCCUGCACGAAGGAAAGCUCUGGAGCUCUGGAUACUGUCUGCCCAUUUGCAGAGGCGGUUGCUGACGAGGAGUUACCUUGCAUAUUAAAAGGAAACGCUCCAGUGAAGAAAAAUGGCUGGAAUGCUGGCGCUGGUCCUGCGUAUGUCCCAUUUUGAGGCUCCAGAGACACUGGUGGCUUGGACGGGACGGGAGAGAACAGUGAUCGACUCUGAGUCACGGGUGGCUGACAAACAGGUUUUGUGCUUUCUGGUGUUCUGAGGAUAGCAGAGGGGGCAGACACAUCCCCAUUCUGCACCAGCGCCAAAGAGGUGUGGUCCCUCGGAAAGGCCCCCAGUGGGGGAGGGUCCCCAGGGGGUAGCAAUGCAGGGGAGCCGUCUCCAGGGGGUGAGGCAGGGGGUGUGGCAGGGGGUGUGGAGGGGUCCCCAUUCUGCAGCGGGGCCGAAUCCUCUGCCACGGGGGUGUAGAGAAAAGGGAAAGCUGGACUGGCCAAAUAGUUGGGAACAAAGGGCAGGUCUGACUCCUUCAUCUGGGGGAGGUUGUCACCAUCAUCAUCCUCUUCCACUGAAAAAGAGGAAAACGCAGAACCUAGACAUAGUCCAAAAAUGGGCAAGAAACAAGUGUCCUGUGAAACCUAGUGUGCUUUGGUAUAUGACAGAAUUCCAUGGUCAGUGUUCUGUGCCUCUUCAAGUCAGAAGAAAAAGAAUAUUUCAUUAGGUUUAUGAUUACCGUUUUUAUCAUCUUAAAUUUUACAGAUUAAAAAACUUAUAAUGCCUACCUUCCCAGAAACAACAUAGAAUUACUAUCUUGGCACAGUCAUACGGUCUUUGCUUUUAGAAGCAGACUGGUUGCUUGAAUCGCAUAAAGAAUACAGCCAAAAAAAAAAAAAAAAAAA